GACGAACGCUGGCGGCGUGCUUAACACAUGCAAGUCGAACGGAAAGGCCCUGCUUUUGCGGGGUGCUCGAUUGGCGAACGGGUGAGUAACACGUGAGUAACCUGCCCCUGACUUUGGGAUAACUUCAGGAAACUGGGGCUAAUACCGGAUAGGAGCUCCUGCUGCAUGGUGGGGGUUGGAAAGUUUCGGCGGCUGGGGAUGGAAUCGCGGCUUAUCAGCUUGUUGGUGGGGUAGUGGCUUACCAAGGCUUUGACGGGUAGCCGGCCUGAGAGGGUGACCGGCCACAUUGGGACUGAGGUACGCACCAGACUCGUACGGGAGGCAGCAGUGGAGAAUAUUGCACAAUGGGCGGGAGCCUGAGGCAGCAACGCCGCGUGCGUGAUGACGGCCUUCGGGUUAUAAACCGCUUUCGCCUGUGACGAAGCGUGAGUGACGGUAAUGGGUAAAGAAGCACCGGCUAACUACGUG
rnacentral:rRNA from 1 species